rnacentral:tRNA from 1 species
CGCGGGAUAGAGCAGUUGGUAGCUCGUCGGGCUCAUAACCCGGAGGUCGUUGGUUCGAAUCCAGCUCCCGCUA